rnacentral:rRNA from 1 species
UAAGAAGGGUGCAAGAGUUAAUCGGAAUUACUGGGCGUAAAGCGCGCGUAGGUGGUUCGUUAAGUUGGAUGUGAAAGCCCCGGGCUCAACCUGGGAACUGCAUCCAAAACUGGCGAGCUAGAGUACGGUAGAGGGUGGUGGAAUUUCCUGUGUAGCGGUGAAAUGCGUAGAUAUAGGAAGGAACACCAGUGGCGAAGGCGACCACCUGGACUGAUACUGACACGGAGGUGAGAAAGCGGGGGGAGCACACAGGCUGCGAUAACCGCGUAGUCC